UUUUUUUUCUGAUUGCAGAGGUCAUAUGUAUUCUGUGUGGAGAAUUUGGAAGAUGAAGAAAAGUACAAAUCCUAUCAACCGUAACAUCUCCUGCAUUUCAUAAAACAAUGAUAUCACUUUCAAAUGUGUAAAUGAGAAGCUUAUUUUAAGAACACAAUUUUUCUUUUCCAUUAAAUUUGCAUCUAGUAGAGUAAGCUUAGGGAGAAAUUAGCCCUUCUGAUUGUUAUUUAGCAUUAUUUUACUUUGUGUUUACUUACACACAUUUUUUUUUUUUAAUGGCCACACCAGCAGCAUAUGGAAAUUCCAGGGCCAGGGGUUGAAUCUGAGCUGCAGCUGUGGAAAUGCCAGAUCCUUUUAAAACCACUGUGCCAGGCCAGGGAUUAAGCCUGAAGUGUCUCAGCAGCUAUCUGAGCCAAUGCCGUCACAUUCUUAACCCACUGGGCCACAGCGGGAACUCCUUCCUUACAUUAUUAUUACAUUAUUAUUACUAAAAGUAAACUCUUUUCCCGGAGCACUUAGCAUGUGUGGGGCAGAAUGCUAAGCACAGCACAUGAAUUAUCUCACUUUGUCCUCCCAAGAAACCCAGAAGAUUGGCAUGAAUUCCGUUAACUUAAUACAGGUGGGUUAGUGGAAGAAUCAGAGUGAUUAUAUAAGGCAGCCAAGGUCCCUCAGCUGGUAAUGUGGGAAACCAGGAUUCAUACCCAAUCCUCUGCAAUCAUUCCACUCCCUCAUCGGGGAAAGGAACGGAGGGAAGGAGGGAAUUUAUGGAACCUCGCCUUGUCAGUCCUGGUGCUGGUUGCGUGCCUUGCUGAUCGUGUUCAAUCUUCACAGCCCCACAAGAUUCUUGUCUCUGGAUGUCCCUCACACUAUCACAGUGGUGAAACUCUCUCACAGACUUGUCUCAUCUUUCAGCAGUAGGUAUUCAGAUCUAGUUUCACUAGUGAAAUGGAAAUGGGGCCAUGGAACUCCUCACAGUGUCUUGCUAGAAGUAGAAUCUGAUUGUAAUUAAUUGGAAAUCACACACAUUCUCAUACACACUCGUGAGUAUACAUAGACACAUGCUUUACUAAUACAUUAUGCACGUUAUAAAUGACUUACUUUAUGCAUUUUUGAAUGAUGAAAUUAUUCUAAAUAAACUUUUUGAAAGAUACUUCGUAUUUAUGUGC
rnacentral:lncRNA from 1 species